CUGCCUCAGGACGGGGACAACAGUUGGAAACGACUGCUAAUACCGCGAUAUAGCUGAGAGGUGAAAUGAUAUUUCGCCUGAGGAUGAACUCGCGUCUGAUUAGCUAGUUGGUGAUGUAAGGGAUCACCAAGGCGACGAUCAGUAUCUGGUCUAAGAGGAUGAUCAGCCACACUGGGACUGAGACACGGCCCAUACUCCUACGGGAGGCAGCAGUGGGGAAUUUUCCGCAAUGGGCGAAAGCCUGACGGAGCAACGCCGCGUGAGGGAGGAAGGCCCUCGGGUUGUAAACCUCUUUUCUCUGGGAAGAAGAUCUUAACGGUACCAUAAGAUAUAAGCCUCGGCUAACUCCGUGCCAGCAGCCGCGGUAAGACGGAGGAGGCAAGCGUUAUCCGGAAUNAUUGGGCGUAAAGCGUCCGCAGGCGGCAUAUUAAGUCNGNANUCAAAGUCCNCNGCUCAACUUNGGGUNGGCNNUGGAAACUGGNGAGCUAGAGUACNGGAGGGGUAGAGGGAAUUCCCNGUGUAGCGGUGAAAUGCGUAGANAUNGGGAAGAACACCAGUGGCGAAGGCGCUCUACUGGACNACNACUGACACUGAGGGACGAAAGCUAGGGAC
rnacentral:rRNA from 1 species